ensembl:lncRNA
UCCCCAAUGCCCCAGGUGCAGUAGAUCGCACUCACAUUUCCAUAUGAGCUCCUCAAGCACAUGAAUAAGUGUAUGUUAAUAGGAAAAAUUUCCAUUCAAUUAAUGUACAGCUCAUUUGCAAUGCUCGUAUGGCAAUUCUUAAUGCAGUUGCAGCGUGGGCAAUUGUCUAGAGGCAGGAGCAGGUAGAGAUGGAUGGCUUCUAGGUAAAUGACUGUAUGUAUUUAGCUGUAAUUCCAUUUUCGUAUUUAAACAUGAUUCUCUUUAUAAUUAUAGGUGACAGAGGUUAUCCUCUGAAGCCAUGGCUUCCUAGUGCACCCACAGACAGCUGAAGAAGCCCACUAUAACAUGUCACAUGCCUGCGCCGGGUCUGUUGUGGCGCACACAGUUGUGGAGUGCACAGCACAGCCCGGUCAGUUGUCUGGAUGCAUCGGGAGGGAGACUCCUAUGAUCCAGGCAAAGUGUGCCAAAUUAUUUUGGCUUGUUGUGUUCUGCACAAUAUCUGCUUGAGUUAUGGGGUUGGGUUGCCAGAAGAGGAAAUGUGCAUGGAUAUUCCAGAGGAUACCCCUCCACUACCCGCUGACUGGAAUGCACACGCUGUUAAUCCACAGGUUAUAUUCAACAGGAUGGCAACAUAUUGCACACUCCCCUGGCUAGGACAGCUGGAGGUGGAUGUUGAUGGCCUGGAAGAUUCCUCCUGAACAGGAGUGUUGCUUGACGCUGUCGCAGUUUUGGAGACAAAUCUACUAGGGGCUGUUUUCCUUUGUAAAUGUUCAUCAUUUACAGUAUUAAUAUUGAACAAACAAAAAACAUUUGGUUUCGAUAAUCUAUAACGCAUCACAUGCCAGCAAUCACUACUGAAGCUGGUGCAGACAAAAGAUCUGUAUCACCUUCUGCACAAACUCCAACAACAGCAGUCUCACCCAUGAUGGGAGCUAUACGGUUUUCCUCCGGUGUGAGGGGUACAGUGCCACUUCCACUUCCUGUGGCCUGCACAUUGCUUCUGUGUCGUGCAACACGCUUUUUGGACUGUAAUUUCAAGUCAGACCAUUUGUUUUACUUCUUUUAGGGACCUUUGCUUCCCCUCCGCCACCUUGUUCACAGUCUGGGCUUCACACUGCCAUGCUACAAAUUUUCCCCUCAUCCCCACAUGAACCUCUACCUCCGCCAACAGGACCUCAAUUUCAGACUCAGUAAAGUGUUUUUUUUUGUUUGUUUUUCGUCCUCUUUGUGCUUGUCAUUCUCAAGCAUAGAAAUUCGGAUAUUGGUGUAUGUGCUUUUAUAUGGUAAUGAUAUUAAUUAGGGGGCAUUUACAAGGCGGCGAUCUGACACCAGUCAGCUGUGCACAAUUUCAAGAUCAUUUGCGAUUUAUAAAUAUCACAUCUGGAAGAGAGGCAUAUGCAUGUGUUUUUAUGCGCACGUUUGUUUUCUCUGAAUCACACUUACACACUUUGAGAAAUGAUCUUAUAACAAAUUUAGGACAGUUUAUACGCAACAUUUUAUAAAUGAGGCUCCAGGUCUUCAAAGUUUUUGCCUUUGAAUGUGAAUGUGAAUGUGAGCUGUUGAUAUUUCCAUAGAAAUAAUGUCGAGCAAAGAUAAGCCCCAUACAUGUUUGGGGCCUCAUUUAUAACCAUUGCAUACGCAAAAAACCUGACCUGACAGAGGCGUACACCACUUCCUACGCAAAAGGUGGGAUUUAUA